AAAGUACUCCCUCUGUCCCAAAAUUCUUGUCUUAGAUUUGUCUAGAUACGGAUGUAUCAAGUCACAUUUUAGUAUUAGAUACAUCCGUAUCUAGACAAAUCUAAGACAAGAAAUUUGGGACAGAGGGAGUAGUUU
rnacentral:pre_miRNA from 1 species